rnacentral:ncRNA from 1 species
GAUAUGUUGUGCCCCGUCGGUGCCACUCUCAGACUUGAUGUCGGACUGGCUUAAUAGGGAAUCCGGUGGAAAUCCGGAACUGCCCCGCAGCGGUAAGCGGAAACGAAAGCCAACAACGCACUGGCCCUCAGCGGCUGGGAAGCGGGAGCGAGUAGGUCGGGUCGCAAGGCCCGUGGUCCGCGAGUCCGAAGACCUGCCGACACAUCGUGGCCUGA